rnacentral:lncRNA from 1 species
CAGACUCUAGAAUCACCUAGGAGACAAGUCUCUGGGCAUGCCUAGGAAAAGCUUUGAAGAUUUGGAUUAAUAGGGGUGGACCCUGACCAUGGGCGGCACAAUUCCAUAGGCUCAGAUCCCAGACAAUGAAAGAGAGCAAGCUGAGCAGUGUUCUCUCUGUUACUGGACUGCAGAUGAAAUGUGACCGGCCACCUAAAGCUUCUCUCGCCCUGCCUCUGCUGCCACUGUGGGCUCUCUUCUCAAACUGAGCCAAAACAAACCACUUCUUCCUUCCUUAAGUUAUGUUCAUUGGCUAUUUCAUUACAAAAAUGAGAAAAGUAACUACUAUCCCUGCCCGCUGAUAUUCAGCACAAAGCAGCCUCAGAGACACUGACCAGACAGCUCAGCUCAGAUGGAGGAUGCGCUUGUGCCUUUACAUGUGGCAGAAUUGAGCCAUGUGGUAUAGGGGAAGGUUCACCGAAGCACUUGACACAGCUGACCUGCCUCUUCCUUCAUGCUCCAGUCCUGUGACAUCAACCUUGACUGAUUGGCUUUCUCACACACUCUUCGACCUCUUCAGCUGCUUCUUCCUCCAAGCUGAACGCAACAUCUACAAAUCCUGACGUCAACGGUGUCAUACUGAUAGAAUCCAGUUGUUUCCGUGACAGCUUCAUUUCAAUAUCUAAUCCAAAUACCUCGUGACCAGAAGACAACUUCAUCUUUUGCUGUAUACUUUUUCCCCCAAGUGCAACCAACGAAAACCCAACAUUCACCCAAGUGUUGGAACUCAAAAUGGAAGGACGCCUGGGCUGACAAUGCUCCCUCCACGGGCCAAAGACCAUCUAGCAAAGACCCAAUACCAGGCAUGAGAAGCCUUCUGUUGAGGUGUUGGUUAUGGCUAUCCAACAAGAGACUACCCAAACAUUAUAGGGUAUUGCUGUUGCUCUUGAUUUCCCUCCAUAGGUGGAAGGCAAGACCCUAUGCUCACGACACCAAGCCCUUCUGACACAGUUCCCAGACCUGAAUGUUCCUUCCCUGAGAACUAGCUCUCAUGGUACCUGAAGGUGCCAUGCAAGAUUCCAAAGAGGGAAACAACCAACAGCCUUACCCAGCUAUGACAACUACCAACAAUAACGACCAGCAUGGAGUGAUAACCCUGAAGGCAGAGACUAUUACAGAAUACCACAACCAAUCAAAUGCAGAGUUGCAGAACCAAGUCCCAAUGGAUGCAUCCACAAAACAACUCCUGAACCCAAGGCUUAGGAACACAGCCGAAAGGGGUCAGAAAGACUGUAAGAGCCAAAAGAUCAUGACUGUGCUAUAAGAAGCUACACCCAGAAAGUCUCACCAACAUGACCACAUAGACAUGCUCUGAAUAAGAACAACAAUGAACAUUACAAAGUAGAUGAUGGAAAGCCCAUGAGGUCUCAACUCUACACAAAGAACUAUAAGCAACUAAGAAAUACUGAGAGUGGGAGAAAGUCUCCCCCAGGGAAGAGCUCACCAGUUGUUCAUCCAAUACCAAAUGGUCAGCCUGGAAAUAUACUUAAACAUAACCCUAUACAGGCUGAGCAGGUUACAUUUAGGACUAUAUAUGAAUUAUGUAUUAUGCACAUAAAUAUAUGAAUAUAACAGCAGUUAAAAGAGCCCAUGAGAGAUGGAUAUAGACUGGUUUGAGGAAGAAAAGGAAGGGGGAAAUGAUAUCAUUAUAUCUCAAAAUAAUGUUUUAGAAUAUAAGGACUCAUCUGUAGUCAGCCUUGCUCCCAAACCCCACACCAAUACAUCAAGCACAAACCUAUUCAACUCUGCGUCGUUACAGCUGCCUCCCAACCCAAGACUCGUGAGCUGAGCUUCUGAAAUCACCUCAUGAGCUCUUUGCAGCCCCACGCAGAGGGAUGACACCAUUUCCUUCUUUUUUCUUCUAUUUUCUUCUCCUCUGCUGGAGGAAAGGAUCUCGUGAGUGUCCCUACACCCCUGAAGCAGUGAUUUGUUUUGCCUCACAUUAGAGGAAAGCAAUGUAAAGGUGAACCCAAGGAAUACUGCAGCCAUAUUUACAGAGACUUUGGCUCACCGGAACCUGAUGGUGAGGAGUGUUGGGGUUUCCUGUUAAUCUCAGAAGGGCUCUUGGGUGUCAGU